UACAGAGGUCGUCAAGCGUUGUUCGGAUUCAUUGGGCGUAAAGGGUGCGUAGGCGGCGCGGUAAGUCGGGUGUGAAAGUCUCGGAGCUUAACUCCGAAACUGCAUUCGAUACUGCCGUGCUUGAGGACUGGAGAGGAGACUGGAAUUUACGGUGUAGCGGUGAAAUGCGUAGAUAUCGUAAGGAAGACCAGUGGCGAAGGCGGGUCUCGUGGACAGUUCCUGACGUGAGGCACGA
rnacentral:rRNA from 1 species